CGCACCUCGACCACAGGACACUGCGACAGUUCUUACUAUUGGUUAUCUAUGUGGUCGACAUGACCUUCUGCGGUUGUCCAAACAUUUGUUUCUUCUAUUCCUUUCCAAGAAAUAGAGCCAUCAGACAUCAGGCAAUCUUGGAGAAGGAUAUAAAAUAAAAGACCAAUGAGUGAAAGUGGAUUCAAAAGAACUAAAAUAAAAUGGGUUUUUAAUCUGUGAUGUUUUAUCA
rnacentral:lncRNA from 1 species